rnacentral:rRNA from 1 species
UACAGAGGUCUCAAGCGUUGUUCGGAUUCAUUGGGCGUAAAGGGUGCGUAGGCGGCGCGGUAAGUCGGGUGUGAAAUCUUGGAGCUUAACUCCGAAACUGCAUUCGAUACUGCCGUGCUUGAGGACUGGAGAGGAGACUGGAAUUUACGGUGUAGCGGUGAAAUGCGUAGAUAUCGAGAGGAAGACCAGUGGCGAAGGCGGAUCUCUGGACAGCUCCUGACGCUGAGGCGCGAAGGCUAGGGGAGCAAACGGG